GGUCCGGCCGGGAACUCAAAGGAGACUGCCAGUGAUAAACUGGAGGAAGGUGGGGAUGACGUCAAGUCAUCAUGGCCCUUACGACCAGGGCUACACACGUGCUACAAUGGCGCAUACAAAGAGAAGCGACCUCGCGAGAGCAAGCGGACCUCAUAAAGUGCGUCGUAGUCCGGAUUGGAGUCUGCAACUCGACUCCAUGAAGUCGGAAUCGCUAGUAAUCGUGGAUCAGAAUGCCACGGUGAAUACGUUCCCGGGCCUUGUACACACCGCCCGUCACACCAUGGGAGUGGGUUGCAAAAGAAGUAGGUAGCUUAACCUUCGGGAGGGCGCUUACCACUUUGUGAUUCAUGACUGGGGUGAAGUCGUAACAAGGUAACCGUAGGGGAACCUGCGGUUGGAUCAC
rnacentral:rRNA from 1 species